GGCUGUAGCUUAGUGGUAGAGCACUUGCCUAACAUGUAUGGGGCCUUAGGUUCAAUCCUCAAUACUGCCA
rnacentral:tRNA from 1 species